rnacentral:rRNA from 1 species
UACGUAGGGCGCAAGCGUUGUCCGGAAUUAUUGGGCGUAAAGAGCUCGUAGGCGGUUUGUCGCGUCUGCUGUGAAAACUCGAGGCUCAACCUCGGGCUUGCAGUGGGUACGGGCAGACUAGAGUGCGGUAGGGGUGACUGGAAUUCCUGGUGUAGCGGUGGAAUGCGCAGAUAUCAGGAGGAACACCGAUGGCGAAGGCAGGUCACUGGGCCGCAACUGACGCUGAGACGCGAAAGCGUGGGGAGCAAACAGG